GAUGAACGCUGGCGGCGUGCCUAAUACAUGCAAGUCGAGCGAAUGGAUUAAGAGCUUGCUCUUAUGAAGUUAGCGGCGGACGGGUGAGUAACACGUGGGUAACCUGCCCAUAAGACUGGGAUAACUCCGGGAAACCGGGGCUAAUACCGGAUAGCAUUUUGAACCGCAUGGUUCGAAAUUGAAAGGCGGCUUCGGCUGUCACUUAUGGAUGGACCCGCGUCGCAUUAGCUAGUUGGUGAGGUAACGGCUCACCAAGGCAACGAUGCGUAGCCGACCUGAGAGAGUAAUCGGCCACACUGGGACUGAGACACGGCCCAGACUCCUACGGGAGGCAGCAGUAGGGAAUCUUCCGCAAUGGACGAAAGUCUGACGGAGCAACGCCGCGUGAGUGAUGAAGGCUUUCGGGUCGUAAAACUCUGUUGUUAGGGAAGAACAAGUGCUAGUUGAAUAAGCUGGCACCUUGACGGUACCUAACCAGAAAGCCACGGCUAACUACGUGCCAGCCGCCGCGGUAA
rnacentral:rRNA from 1 species